GUGCUCACUUCGGCAACACAUAUACUAAAAUUGGAAUGAUACAAAGAAGAUUAGCAUGGCCCCUACACAAGGAUGACACACAAAUUCGUGAAGCAUUCCAUAUUUUU
rnacentral:snRNA from 1 species